AACGAACGCUGGCGGCAGGCCUAACACAUGCAAGUCGAGCGAGACCUUCGGGUCUAGCGGCGGACGGGUUAGUAACGCGUGGGAACGUGCCCUUCUCCGCGGAAUAGCCACUGGAAACGGUGAGUAAUACCGCAUACGCCCUUCGGGGGAAAGAUUUAUCGGAGAAGGAUCGGCCCGCGUUAGAUUAGAUAGUUGGUGGGUAACGGCCUACCAAGUCUACGAUUUAUAGCUGGUUUUAGAGGAUGAUCAGCAACACUGGGACUGAGACACGGCCCAGACUCCUACGGGAGGCAGCAGUGGGGAAUCUUAGACAAUGAGCGCAAGCCUGAUCUAGCCAUGCCGCGUGUGUGAUGAAGGUCUUAGGAUCGUAAAGCACUUUCGCCAGGGAUGAUAAUGACAGUACCUGGUAAAGAAACCCCGGCUAACUCCGUG
rnacentral:rRNA from 1 species